rnacentral:rRNA from 1 species
AUUGAACGCUGGCGGCAGGCUUAACACAUGCAAGUCGAGCGAGAGGCGGACGGGUGGGUAAUGUAUGGGAAACUGCCUGAUGGAGGGGGAUAACUACGGGAAACGGUAGCUAAUAACGCAUACCAUCAGAUGUGCCAGUAUGGGAUUAGCUAGUAGGUGGGGUAAUGGCGCACCUAGGCGACGAUCCCUAGCUGGUCUGAGAGGAUGACCAGCCACACUGGGACUGAGACACGGCCCAGACUCCUACGGGAGGCAGCAGUGGGGAAUAUUGCACAAUGGGCGCAAGCCUGAUGCAGCCAUGCCGCGUGUGUGAUGAAGGCCUUCGGGUUGUAAAGCACUUUCAGCGGGGAGGCGGUACUCGCAGAAGAAGCACCGGCUAACUCCGUGCCAGCAGCCGCGGUAAUUC